GACGAACGCUGGCGGCGUGCUUAACACAUGCAAGUCGAACGAAGUGGCGAACGGGCGAGUAACGCGUAAUCAAUCUGCCCUCCAGAGGGGGACAACAGUUGGAAACGACUGCUAAUACCGCAAACUGAAGGAGGGGAUUGCGUCUGAUUAGCUAGUUGGAGGGGUAACGGCCCACCAAGGCGACUAUCAGUAGCCGUUCUGAGCGGAUGAACGGCCACCUUGGGACUGAUACACGGCCCAGACUCCUACGGGAGGCAGCAGUGGGGAAUCUUCCGCAAUGGACGAAAGUCUGACGGAGCAACGCCGCGUGAGUGAUGACGGCCUUCGGAUUGUAAAGCUCUGUUCAUCGGGACGCAGUACCUGAAUAGAAAGCCACGGCUAACUACGUGCCAGCAGCCGCGGUAAUAC
rnacentral:rRNA from 1 species